AUUGAACGCUGGCGGCAGGCCUAACACAUGCAAGUCGAACGAGUGGCGGACGGGUGAGUAAUGUCUGGGAAACUGCCUGAUGGAGGGGGAUAACUACUGGAAACGGUAGCUCAUACCGCAUACCAUCGGAUGUGCCAAGAUGGGAUUGGCUAGUUGGUGGGGUAACGGCUCACAAAGGCGACGAUCCAUAGCUGUUAUGAGAGGCUGACCAGCAACACGGGAACUGAGAGAGAGUCCAGAAUCCUACGAGAGGCAGCAGUGGGGAAUAUUGCACCAUGGGCGCAAGCCUGAUGCAGCCAGGCAGUGUGUAUGAAGAAGGCCUCCGGGUUGUAAAGUACUUUCAGAGGGGAGGCGUUACACGCAUAAGAAGGACCGGCGAACUCCGUGCCAGCAGCCGCGGUAAUAC
rnacentral:rRNA from 1 species